AGUAGCCGCGGGAAUACAGAGGGUGCGAGCGUUAAUCGGAUUUACUGGGCGUAAAGCGUGCGUAGGCGGCUUUUUAAGUCGGAUGUGAAAUCCCUGAGCUUAACUUAGGAAUUGCAUUCGAUACUGGGAAGCUAGAGUAUGGGAGAGGAUGGUAGAAUUCCAGGUGUAGCGGUGAAAUGCGUAGAGAUCUGGAGGAAUACCGAUGGCGAAGGCAGCCAUCUGGCCUAAUACUGACGCUGAGGUACGAAAGCAUGGGGAGCAAACAGGAUUAGAUACCCGAGUAGUCCCUGUCUCUUAUACA
rnacentral:rRNA from 1 species